rnacentral:rRNA from 1 species
CUGCUUUUGUACGGAACGAAAAGGUCUCUGUUAAUACCAGGGGCUGAUGACGGUACCGUAAGAAUAAGCACCGGCUAACUACGUGCCAGCAGCCGCGGUAAUACGUAGGGUGCGAGCGUUAAUCGGAAUUACUGGGCGUAAAGCGUGCGCAGGCGGUCUUGUAAGACAGAUGUGAAAUCCCCGGGCUCAACCUGGGAACUGCAUUUGUGACUGCAAGGCUAGAGUGCGGCAGAGGGGGAUGGAAUUCCGCGUGUAGCAGUGAAAUGCGUAAAUAUGCGGAGGAACACCGAUGGCGAAGGCAAUCCCCUGGGCCUGCACUGACGCUCAUGCACGAAAGCGUGGGGAGCAAACAGGAUUAGAUACCCUGGUAGUCCACGCCCU